AAUAGAUACCCAGGUAGUCCACGCCGUAAACGAUGGAUACUAGCUGUUUGAGCGCAAGUUUGAGUGGCUAAGCGAAAGUGAUAAGUAUCCCACCUGGGGAGUACGGGCGCAAGCCUGAAACUCAAAGGAAUUGACGGGGGCCCGCACAAGCGGUGGAGCAUGUGGUUUAAUUCGAUGAUACGCGAGGAACCUUACCAGGGCUUAAAUGUAGAUUGACGUAUUUGGAAACAGAUAUUUCUUCGGACAAUUUACAAGGUGCUGCAUGGUUGUCGUCAGCUCGUGCCGUGAGGUGUCAGGUUAAGUCCUAUAACGAGCGCAACCCCUGUUGUUAGUUGCCAGCGAGUAAUGUCGGGAACUCUAGCAAGACUGCCAGUGUAAACUGUGAGGAAGGUGGGGAUGACGUCAAAUCAUCACGGCCCUUACGUCCUGGGCCACACACGUGCUACAAUGGCCGGUACAGAGAGCAGCCACUUAGCGAUAAGGAGCGAAUCUAUAAAAGCCGGUCACAGUUCGGAUCGGAGUCUG
rnacentral:rRNA from 1 species